GACGAACGCUGGCGGCGUGCUUAACACAUGCAAGUCGAGCGGUAAGGCCCUUUCGGGGGUACACGAGCGGCGAACGGGUGAGUAACACGUGGGUGACCUGCCCUCAGCUCUGGGAUAAGCCUGGGAAACCGGGUCUAAUACUGGAUAUGACUCCAUGACGCAUGUUGUGGGGUGGAAAGCCUUGUGCGGCUGAGGAUGGGCCCGCGGCCUAUCAGCUUGUUGGUGGGGUGANGGCCUACCAAGGCGACGACGGGUAGCCGGCCUGAGAGGGCGACCGGCCACACUGGGACUGAGACACGGCCCAGACUCCUACGGGAGGCAGCAGUGGGGAAUCUUGCGCAAUGGGCGAAAGCCUGACGCAGCGGCGCCGCGUGAGGGAUGACGG
rnacentral:rRNA from 1 species